rfam:Daphnia pulex DAPPTscaffold_543_Cont9930, whole genome shotgun sequence.
UCCUCGGUAGUAUAGCGGUAAGUAUCCCCGCCUGUCACGCGGGAGACCGGGGUUCAAUUCCCCGCCGGGGAG